UGGGGAAUAUUGCACAAUGGGCGCAAGCCUGAUGCAGCCAUGCCGCGUGUGUGAAGAAGGCCUUCGGGUUGUAAAGCACUUUCAGCGAGGAGGAAGGUGGUGAACUUAAUACGUCAUCAAUUGACGUUACUCGCAGAAGAAGCACCGGCUAACUCCGUGCCAGCAGCCGCGGUAAUACGGAGGGUGCAAGCGUUAAUCGGAAUUACUGGGCGUAAAGCGCACGCAGGCGGUUUGUUAAGUCAGAUGUGAAAUCCCCGGGCUCAACCUGGGAACUGCAUUUGAAACUGGCAAGCUAGAGUCUCGUAGAGGGGGGUAGAAUUCCAGGUGUAGCGGUGAAAUGCGUAGAGAUCUGGAGGAAUACCGGUGGCGAAGGCGGCCCCCUGGACGAAGACUGACGCUCAGGUGCGAAAGCGUGGGGCAGCAAACAGGAUUAGAUACCCUGGUAGUCCACGCUGUAAAACGAUGUCGAUUUGGAGGUUGUGCCCUUGAGGCGUGGCUUCCGGAGCUAACGCGUUAAAUCGACCGCCUGGGGAGUACGGCCGCAAGGUUAAAACUCAAAUGAAUUGAC
rnacentral:rRNA from 1 species